UACGAAGGGGGCUAGCGUUGCUCGGAAUCACUGGGCGUAAAGCGCACGUAGGCGGAUUGUUAAGUCAGGGGUGAAAUCCUGGAGCUCAACUCCAGAACUGCCUUUGAUACUGGCGAUCUUGAGUCCGGGAGAGGUGAGUGGAACUGCGAGUGUAGAGGUGAAAUUCGUAGAUAUUCGCAAGAACACCAGUGGCGAAGGCGGCUCACUGGCCCGGUACUGACGCUGAGGUGCGAAAGCGUGGGGAGCAGACAGG
rnacentral:rRNA from 1 species